rnacentral:piRNA from 1 species
UGGGAGUCUGUUCUACUGUGCAGGUUCUGC